AGUUGGUCUGAGAGUUGUGAGUUAUCAAUUGUUAAUGUCGUUUCCCCCCACCACCACUGUAUUUGACUGACUGGUU
rnacentral:Y_RNA from 1 species